rnacentral:snoRNA from 1 species
AACUUUGUCCAAAAGUAUUCCAUCACUAUAGACAGUACAUUAUUAUGGUUCUUUGUUUCACCCGCUUGUGGACUAUCAGUUCUUGAUAGUCUCAGGCAUUUUAUGGAACGGAGAUCACCCUAUCAUAUAUAAAUGUGAUGUGUGAUGGAUAGAGAAAUUGAAUCUAUAAGAACCUGUCUGGACUAAAUUUUGAAAGAGAGGUGUCAGAUGAUCCAUACAUUU